rnacentral:snoRNA from 1 species
UGCCAUUGCUAAGUCAAGGCUUCUCCCUGCGACCUCGUGUCGUGUUUUUCUUCCUUGGGAGUAUGUCUGUUACAGCUCUGGCAGAUUGACGCUGAUCCGCGCCGACCUUCUUUCUGAAGCUAGGCUGACUGGUUUUCGUUUUGAAUACCAGUCGUAAGGAUCAAGCUGUGUUCUGUUUUUGAGUUGAGAUCUGCUACUACUCAAUGAGUGGCCCAUAGCAGUUCUCUUAGUAACAUUUCACACAUUU